rnacentral:rRNA from 1 species
GACGAACGCUGGCGGCGUGCCUAAUACAUGCAAGUUGAGCGCUGAAGGUUGGUACUUGUACCAACUGGAUGAGCAGCGAACGGGUGAGUAACGCGUGGGGAAUCUGCCUUUGAGCGGGGGACAACAUUUGGAAACGAAUGCUAAUACCGCAUAAAAACUUUAAACACAAGUUUUAAGUUUGAAAGAUGCAAUUGCAUCAUUCAAAGAUGAUCCCGCGUUGUAUUAGCUAGUUGGUGAGGUAAAGGCUCACCAAGGCGAUGAUACAUAGCCGACCUGAGAGGGUGAUCAGCCACAUUGGGACUGAGACACGGCCCAAUCUCCUACGGGAGGCAGCAGUAGGGAAUCUUCGGCAAGGGACGAAAGUCUGACCGAGCAACGCCGCGUGAGUGAAGAAGGUUUUCGGAUCGUAAAACUCUGUUGGUAGAGAAGAACGUUGGUGAGAGUGGAAAGCUCAUCAAGUGACGGUAACUAUCCAGAAAGGGACGGCUAACUACGUG